ensembl:lncRNA novel transcript, antisense to C14orf50
GCCCAGAGUUUGCAAGUGGCGAGAAAGUGAGCAUUCUCAUACACAGAUGCAGGUCGUAGCUUAGAUAUCACCUUCCUUGGGAAGCCUUCUCUGUCUCCUCUGUCCACUGGACUUCAGGAAAUCCAGGUCCCAUAUCUGGAUCAGGCCGCUCUGGUGAAUGCAACUUUCCUCAGCCCUGGUGCCCAGCCCAGUGUAGCAGUGGCAGCAGUUCCUGGAGCCACUGGACAGAAUCUUCUGCGGCAAACCUGAGAAAGAAAACUGAAAUUACUGCUUUGAAGUGACGGGUUACUCAGAAAUACUGAAAUACAUAUUCUAUAAAAUGUAAACUUUUGAUUUUGACUCUAAUAAAAUGUUAAGCCUUUGAA